UACGAAGGGGGCUAGCGUUACUCGGAUUGACUGGGCGUAAAGGGCGCGUAGGCGGUUUGUACAGUCAGACGUGAAAUCCCCGGGCUCAACCUGGGAAUUGCGUUGGAGACUGCAAGGCUGGAGUCUGGCAGAGGGGGGUAGAAUUCCACGUGUAGCAGUGAAAUGCGUAGAGAUGUGGAGGAACACCGAUGGCGAAGGCAGCCCCCUGGGUCAAGACUGACGCUCAUGCACGAAAGCGUGGGGAGCAAACAGGG
rnacentral:rRNA from 1 species